GACGAACGCUGGCGGCGUGCUUAACACAUGCAAGUCGAACGGAAAGGCCCUGCUUUUGUGGGGUGCUCGAGUGGCGAACGGGUGAGUAACACGUGAGAAACCUGCCCUUGCCUUUGGGAUAACUUCAGGAAACUGGGGCUAAUACCGGAUAGGAGCUCCUGCUGCAUGGUGGGGGUUGGAAAGUUUCGGCGGUUGGGGAUGGACUCGCGGCUUAUCAGCUUGUUGGUGGGGUAGUGGCUUACCAAGGCUUUGACGGGUAGCCGGCCUGAGAGGGUGACCGGCCACAUUGGGACUGAGAUACGGCCCAGACUCCUACGGGAGGCAGCAGUGGGGAAUAUUGCACAAUGGGCGGAAGCCUGAUGCAGCAACGCCGCGUGCGGGAUGACGGCCUUCGGGUUGUAAACCGCUUUCGCCUGUGACGAAGCGUGAGUGACGGUAAUGGGUAAAGAAGCACCGGCUAACUACGUG
rnacentral:rRNA from 1 species